GACGAACGCUGGCGGCGUGCCUAAUACAUGCAAGUAGGACGCAGUUGCGAACGGGUGUGUAACGCGUAGGUAACUACCUACUAGAGGGGGAUAACUCUUGGAAACGAUAGCUAAUACCGCAUACUAGUAGAUGGACCUGCGGUGUAUUAGCUAGUAGGUAGGGUAAUGGCCUACCUAGGCAACGAAACAUAGCCGGCCCGGGAGGGGGAUCGGCCAAACUGGGAAUGAGACCAGGCCCAGACUCCUAAGGGAGGCAGCAGGAGGGAAACUUCGGCAAAGGGGGGAACCCUGACCGAGCAACGCCGCGUGAGUGGAGAAGGGUUUCGGAUCGUAAAGCUCUGGUGUUAAGGAAGCGGUACUUAACCAGAAAGGGACGGCUAACUACGUGCCAGCCGCCGCGGUAAUUC
rnacentral:rRNA from 1 species